UACGAAGGGUGCAAGCGUUAAUCGGAAUUACUGGGCGUAAAGCGCGCGUAGGCGGUUUGGUUAGUUGGAUGUGAAAGCCCCGGGCUCAACCUGGGAACUGCAUCCAAUACUGCCAGGCUAGAGUACGGUAGAGGGGGGUAGAAUUCCACGUGUAGCGGUGAAAUGCGUAGAGAUGUGGAGGAAUACCAGUGGCGAAGGCGGCCCCCUGGAUCGAUACUGACGCUGAGGUGCGAAAGCGUGGGGAGCAAACAGGAUUAGAUACCCGCGUAGUCC
rnacentral:rRNA from 1 species